rnacentral:lncRNA from 1 species
AACAAUAGAGUUAAAUGUAGUAUUCAAAUGCCCCAUAUAAAGUUGAGAAUCUAAUGAUGUUAUCAUAGACAAUUAAAAGGCUUAAAAAGUGAAACUAUUCUUUGCUUUUAAACCCCAUUAUCAUAUUGGGUAUUAAAGGCCCAUAUUCUACACCAACGUAACACGAGUGCUUAAACGGUACACUAAAACAUCAACAACUAUACAAAAAAUAAUAACAUUACAAUCAAAGAGCUGCAAAAGCAUCAUCGACCCACUUUAGUUCAUUGCUAGAACCUUUGCCAUUCUCGGUCAUUUUCGUCGAUGAUGAAGAAGAAGAUGAAGAGCCAAUGAAAGAUUGAAAUGCGGACCUGAAAUUAUUCAUACGUUUACGGUGACGAAUCCUUCUCAAAACCAUAUCUUUAUCCAAUGUUUGCUUCGAAUGGCUUGGCUUUAUGUAAAGAUGGCUAGUGAUGGCAUCUAACUGCUCUUGCUCAUCUUGGUUAUCUUCACCACAAUUGUUGCUGCUCUCGUCGUUGAUGUUGAUGAUGACGUUGUUCUUGUCUGGUUUAGUGAGUGGCAUUUUUUUUGAAGUAAAUUACAAAGAGUAUAAAAGAGAUGAUGCUUAUCGGUUUAUAGAAGUGAAUGGGGGGACAAGGCAAGGGUGAUAUUUAUAGAGGGGUAGAAAGAAAGAUUCUUGAGGAUUUUUAUAUGAUUUUGGUCGGUUUUGUGGGUUCGAGAUGGCACAGAAUCCAUAGAUUCUGAGGUGGUCGGUUGCUGAAAAUAAUAUAGUAAUUUAUGAUGUUUUUAUGUCAGAUCUGGGUUUUGAGAUGAGUUUCAUCUUGGAUACGCAUGAUAACCUUUUCCCUCCAGUUUUUAAAAAUUAUUUUAUUUCCUCAUUUAAUUUUUUUUCUUUCAAUCAUUGAAUUUAUAUUUUCGUCAAAUUAUUUCAAAAUAGAAGAAAAAGUUAAUCUUUG